AAUAGCUUUCUACUGCAAGAACUUUAACCACCAAAGUAAUUUCAUUUUCACAGCAACAAUGUAUGGCUACAUCUCCUUCCACUACUCCAGACACGAGUCUACUGCCCCUGCUGGUACCCUGCAGCGCAGCCUCUGCAACCCUAUCUGAGCAACAGCCUAUGAAGCCACCAUUUCUGGGGCCUGGGAAAGCUGAAAGAAUGAUGCCCCAACAGAGAACACAAGUGUGAAUUACUCAGAUGUUCACUUUCAAUUCAUUUAGCAUCUAGCCGAAGAAACAUAUAUGUGAACAGCUCAUCCUGAAUCUUUUAAGAUGGAGCUAAAUCUCUCUAAGGCAUACUUGUGGCUGUCAGGACUACAUGUGUCAACAGCCUUGAGCGAGCUUAUCUGCAUCUUCUCUAGAACUGCUUUCUAGAAAUGAGAGUGGGCUCUGCAUCCCCUAUCAGAUUUGAUGUGUGAGCACACAGCCAGAAGAGAGAAUAAUUCAUCAUCAAUACUACCGGUAUAAAAAUUCCACAACCCAAAUUGACAUAUAACUGCCUCCCCGAGGGCAAGGCCCACAGAGUGAGUUGAUACAACCAUAGUACAAGUAUACCAAGUCACAUUUACACAACCUGAC